GUGGAUAUGAAAGUGUGUGUGU
rnacentral:piRNA from 1 species